GAUGAACGCUGGCGGCGUGCUUAACACAUGCAAGUCGAACGAAGCACUUUAUUUGAUUUCCUUCGGGACUGAUUAUUUUGUGACUGAGUGGCGGACGGGUGAGUAACGCGUGGGUAACCUGCCUUGUACAGGGGGAUAACAGUUGGAAACGGCUGCUAAUACCGCAUAAGCGCACGGCAUCGCAUGAUGCAGUGUGAAAAACUCCGGUGGUAUAAGAUGGACCCGCGUUGGAUUAGCUAGUUGGUGAGGUAACGGCCCACCAAGGCGACGAUCCAUAGCCGACCUGAGAGGGUGACCGGCCACAUUGGGACUGAGACACGGCCCAAACUCCUACGGGAGGCAGCAGUGGGGAAUAUUGCACAAUGGGCGAAAGCCUGAUGCAGCGACGCCGCGUGAGCGAAGAAGUAUUUCGGUAUGUAAAGCUCUAUCAGCAGGGAAGAUAAUGACGGUACCUGACUAAGAAGCACCGGCUAAAUACGUGCCAGCAGCCGCGGUAAUACGUAUGGUGCAAGCGUUAUCCGGAUUUACUGGGUGUAAAGGGAGCGCAGGCGGUGCGGCAAGUCUGAUGUGAAAGCCCGGGGCUCAACCCCGGUACUGCAUUGGAAACUGUCGUACUAGAGUGUCGGAGGGGUAAGCGGAAUUCCUAGUGUAGCGGUGAAAUGCGUAGAUAUUAGGAGGAACACCAGUGGCGAAGGCGGCUUACUGGACGAUAACUGACGCUGAGGCUCGAAAGCGUGGGGAGCAAACAGGAUUAGAUACCCUGGUAGUCCACGCCGUAAAC
rnacentral:rRNA from 1 species